AAAACGAAUGCCUUUCCGUCGGCGGGACACACUGAAAAGGUAUGAGAGUUGCAGAGGGGAUUGAGUUCUGAGGACAGAGCACAGGAGAAAAAAGAGGAGAGCCAGGAAAGAACGCCAAGAGGACAAGGAGAGGGAAAGAGAUUAUUUGUCAUCGUGUGGUGACCAUCAUUGAUUGUGGAGAGGGCUUGUUUUGUUGCUGUUUCUGGUGCACUCUUUACUUUUCUCUUUUUUCGAAAUCCAUCUUAUUGGUGCUUCUCUGUGACAAUCAAGACUGUAUUGUGUAGUUUAUAGAUGGAGUAUAGAGGAAUAUCCGUUACCUAUUAAAGAUAUAGUGGAAAAUUUGUGAUCUUUAGGGUUUUGUAAGGGUUUUCCGCAGAUUUUCUUUUAUGGUGUGGUUGGUUUGUUCUUGGUUGAUCGGUUUGGAUUAUUGCGGUUGAUUCGUGGCUUAAUAUUUCGUGUUUGGAAUAUUGUUUUGCUGCUGCUCUUUUAAGAGGGAAAGGAAUAUAUAGUGAUUGCUCUGCUGGUCACUUGUUUUGUUGCCUAAUUAUUCUCGUGUAUUUUAAAUGGAGAAGUUUAGUAGCAAUAUGAUUCCACUGACCUUGUCAAAUUAUUAUAUCUGGAGAACAAAAAUGGAAGAUAUUUUGUUUUGUGCAGACUUGCAUGAUACAAUUGAAGGGGUUAAAGCCAAAUCCACUGAUAUGUCAGAUACAGAAUGGGAGCUGAUGAAUAGAAAAACUGUUGCUUUGAUCCGGCAAUGGAUUGAUGAUAGUCUCUUCCAUCUUGUGUCUCACGAGACAAAUGCAGAGUCCUUAUGAAUGAAGUUGGAGCGUUUUUUUGACAGGGAAAACCCACAACACAAAACUAUGCUAGUGGGAAAACUCAUCAAUUUGAGGUAUAACGAUGGAGAUAGUAUGGCUACGCACAUUAAUGAUUUUCAAGACAUUGUGAAUCAAUUGAGUAACUUGAAGUUAGUGUUGCCUGAUGAGUUGCAAGCGUAUUUGUUUUUGGCUACUUUGCCUGAUAAUUGGCAUUUUUUGGUCAAUUCUGCUCCUGAUGAUGAAUUAUCCAUGAGUAAGAUAAAAGAAAGGUUGUUUAUUAAAGAGUUUAGGGUGAAGGAACAGGGUUCUUCUUCCCAACCAGAAGCAGUUGUUGCAGAGAGACGGGGAAGAAGUAAAACUAAAAGUUCCCAAAAUUCAAACAACUGUGGCAAGUCA
rnacentral:misc_RNA from 1 species